UCAGGAUGAACGCUGGCGGCGUGCCUAACACAUGCAAGUCGAACGGAAGAUAAGCGCUUCGGAGACUUCGGUCAAUGUUGCUUAACUUAGUGGCGGACGGGUGAGUAACGCGUGGAUAACCUGCCUCAUACAGGGGGAUAACAGUUAGAAAUGACUGCUAAUACCGCAUAAGCGCACGGAAUCGCAUGUUUCUGUGUGAAAAACUGAGGUGGUAUGAGAUGGAUCCGCGUCUGAUUAGCUAGUUGGCGGGGUAACAGCCCACCAAGGCGACGAUCAGUAGCCGGCCUGAGAGGGUGAACGGCCACAUUGGGACUGAGACACGGCCCAAACUCCUACGGGAGGCAGCAGUGGGGAAUAUUGGGCAAUGGGCGAAAGCCUGACCCAGCGACGCCGCGUGAGGGAAGAAGGUCUUCGGAUUGUAAACCUUAGUUGGCAGGGAAGAAGAAAGUGACGGUACCUGCAGAGAAAGCCACGGCUAACUACGUGCCAGCCGCGGC
rnacentral:rRNA from 1 species